GUGUUUACAGCAAAAAGCCUGAAGGUAACGAUUCUACUCACCAGAACAAAUUCAAUAAGCUGUAGUUGUUCUGGUGACUAUAGUGUCCCUUUAACUAUAUUCAUUGUCAGCCAGUCCACACAAGUUUUGUUCCCAUACAUCCCUCUUAAGUUUCCAUACUUAAGAGUAUGUGAAAAGUAGUUAGGGUUGCCACCUUUCUUGGAAAAACAUACCGGCC